UGGCUCUUGUGUGAGUGGAUGGUGACACCAGGCCAGCUGGGGAUUCUUCCCAGGCUGGGCUCACAGGCUGGGGCUGGGCACACGGAGCAGCUGCGGGAAAAGGAUCUGGACACCAGCCCCCCAGCGUGUCACCGGCAGGAAGGUGAGGUGGGAACAGAGUGACGUCCAUGCAUGUUCAGAGACAAGGUUUCCCUACGUUGCCCAGACUGGUCUUGAACUCCUAGCCUCAAGCAGUCCUUCUGCCUCAGCCUCCCAAUGUGCUGGGAUUACAGGCAUGAGCCACUGCACUUGACCAAGGGACUAAGCCAGUGGAUCACAAACAUCCUGGAGAGCAGUGACUCUGUGAUUCCAUCACAAGAAUAUGAAGGACUGAGAAGAUCUCCAGCUCUGCCCAUUGCACCUUCCCAUUGAGAAGCAGCAUGGCACCCUGGUGGCAGGGGCUGAUACUCAGCCGGGCCAGGGUGCUCUCCUGUUAACCAUAACCAAGCUCACAGGACAUGGGAUGAGCCCACUGUGUGACACAGGGAGCGGGACACAGUCUGUUAAGUCUUGCACAGCCAUGCUCUGCCACGCAGGCAGGCCUUUCCUUGGCCUCCCUCUCCCUGUUCGUGCUCAUGUGAACAUCCACCUACGUGGAUAGACUGGGCUUUGGUUCAUUAUUGCUCUGUGAAUUCCUCGAACUUCCGCAUCUGCCCAACCUCCCCCACCCCAUUGUUUUCAUUGUGUUUCACCAAAUGGAAAUUCUAGAGUAAGCAUGUGAGUCCUCUCCCAAACUUGUUCACUGUUGAGAGUGCUAAAAUGCUAACCCCAGAUGCUAACUGAGGGGUAGGGUUACCUUAUCUUUAGAGCACUGCGAAUUGUAUGUUAAGUGGAACUUAAUGAAAAAAUAGUUAAUUGACCAACAUGAAUAUCCCCUGAACAGAAUCUCCCCUGAACAGAAUCCUACAAUGAAACUAAGGGAGAUAAAUAAAGCUGUUUACCUGAAAGCUCUCUCUAAUCAAGAUCCUUUGAAAUUUAUAAAACAUGGUCAAUAUUUGCACUGGACUUUGUAAAAAUAAAGCUUGAUAAGAGAAGAGUUUGAAGUGAAAUGCUGCCACUUUCUAUGCAAUAUUUGAUUUAAAUUUAAUUCCUAGAAACCUCAGAUGAAUGUGGUUCAUGUAUCAAAGCACUCAGCAUUAUUUAUCGCGGCCUUAAAUACACAGUGAGCUUACAUGUGAAUGAAUACAUAUAUUAUGUAUCUCUCUCUAUAUAUAUACUAUAUAGAUAAUAUAGUAUAUAUAUAUAUAUAGUGUAUAUAUACACUAUAUAUAUCGUGUAUACAUAUACUAUCUAUAUAGUAUAUAUGUAUAUGGUAUAUAUAUCUAUCUAUAGAUAGAUAGAUAGAUAUACUUAAAAAAACCCCAUUCCCUUAAGAGCAGUUAAGGGACACCAUAUAUCAAAUUUCUUGGCACGUUGUGAAUAUUAAUAUCCCCAAAGUGUCAAUGUCAAAUGAUUUGACUUGAAAUCACUAAGCUUGGUAAUCUCACUAUUUUUAAACAAGGCCUAACAUCUUUUAAUCUUGAAUACCAGCAAGUUCUCAGACUUCAGUUGUUUAUUUUCUCUUUUCUUUCCUUUAAAAAAUUCUGACAAGCUCUUUUCCUUGACACAAAGAAAGCGUAUAAAUUUUAUUUUGGUUUGAACAACAGAAAUUUGCCUCUCAGAAUUCUGGAGAUUGGAAAGUCUAAGGACUAAGCUGCUGGCCAAUUUAGUUCUUAGUGAGGACUCUCUUCCUGGCUUGUAGAUGGCUGCCUUCUCACUGCAUCCUCAGAGAGAGAGAGAGAGAGGGCUCUUGUGUCUCUUCCUUUCUCAUAAAGCGUCAGCUCUCUUGUAUUAGGGUCCCACCCAUAAUUACCCCCUUAUAUGCCCCAUCUACAAAUAGAGUCACAUUGUGGGUUAGAGCUUGGCAGUGAAUAAUUAUGGAGGUUAUUGUUGGCUUUAGAAUUUCGUGGUAGAAACAAUAAAUUGCCUUUGUGUUUACGUUUUAUUUUAUUUUUUUAACAUUAACAUGUAUUUGCAACAAUGAAAACAGCAGGUGAAUACAUUCUGGGUAGGGGAAAAAGUUAGAGGAGUGCUAUCCAGAAGUUAUAUUUCCUAGGAAUAUGGGGAAUAAAACAUUCAAUAUUGGUGGUUCUAAUAGAUGAAUUAAAUUUAAUUUGAUGUGGAGUGGCCAUGUCCCCUGUCUCGGGAUGCCGUGUGAAGCCUGGCUCUUGUGACAGCUGUUUAGAUUUGCUGAAAGAUGUUUUAAGUGUCCUAGGAAAGAGGUUUCCAUUCAUUCUAGAACUGAUAGUUUUCUCUUAAAGUGUUAAUUUACAUUUUAAUGUUGAUGUGGUAUCCAUCUCAGGUUAAUGUUUGGCACUAGGUAAUUGAAUUUUUAAAAAUCUCAUUUUAUUUUCUGUCUGCUUUUGGGAGAGAGAAGUGGUUAGGUUUUUAUUACAGGAAGGAUUUUUCUCUUUCUCUAUUAUAAUACCUGAAAGCAAAUAUAUAUAAGCUAUACAUGAAGUCAUUACAAUUCUUUUUUCUCAUUUUAUUUUCACUUUUGGGAAAGAUUGCUGCCAAUAUUUGUGAGAUCUCUUUUCAGUUCUAUCUUUUACUUCUGCAUGUCCGUUAUCUUAGCCAUGCAAUGUUUAGUUUGAGGCAGUUUCACCCAAGGGACAUACCUUAGAAUAGACUCUCAUGGCCAGUAAUGAAUGACUGAUGGAGGGAACAGCAGUUUAUAGGUUUUUUGUUGUUUUUAAGGAGAAAAAUUAACACCCUUCAUCAAACCUCCUCUUUCUUCCUUCUCUCCUCCCCUCCAUCUCACCCUGCCUCCCCUUGGGAUCUUACUCCUGUGAUUAGUUUGGGUUCCACACAAAGAAAGAUUUAUUACUUUAAUGUCUUUGUGAUUUAGUUUUAUGUGAUCUUCCUAGGGACACCAGGGAGUACACGCUCCCCUUUCUGAAUAUGUUGUAAGCUCCUUUGAGGCAAAAAUGAAUGUUCCUGUGUUACAAGAACAGAGCAGCCCUUAUCAUCUUCUCGAAUCUUAUCUUUCUGAGUUAAACAUUUGGCAUCAGUGACGAAGUAAGACCAGACAUUGAGGAUGAGACGUCAAAUCCAAGUUUGUAGAAAACACACAGUUGAUGCAUCUCACAUCUCUCAAAUUCUUCUCUGUGGACUCUAUGCUUACUGUUCCUGAAGAUGUU
rnacentral:lncRNA from 1 species